GUAGUAUGAAUAUAUAUAUUUGAAAUUCAGUAUCAUUGUCACCUGACACAUUUGUUCUUGUAAUGUAUAUGCUUAAGUGAUGAGUGUGGUCACUGGUCAGUACUGUAAAGGAAUCAGCAUUGAAAAUCUAAGUAUAAGAUCUAGAACCUUAUUAGAUUUUUCUUGAUUUUGAGAUAAAAUGCUCUAACUUUUUGUGAAUGCUUUGUUGACUAACCUUCUUGGAUUUUAGGUUGGCUUCUGUCCUGUCUAUGUUGGAUUUCGUACAUGAUCACUGUAUCAAAUUCUUUGCGAAUUGUAUUUGUAGGACUUAUAGUCUAAACUAAAAAAUAUGCCGAAGUUUGAUUUUGAAUCACUGAUAAUCAUGCCUACUAGCUAAGCUAGUACCUUUCAGUUUCUAAUUAAUGCAUGCAUUUCAAUCUUGAUUCUUCCAGGCAUGGGUCACACUUGGCAGAACACAACUGAAUUUUGGUGAGCCAGAUAAUGCUAUUGAGAGCUUUGAUCGAGCUUUAGCUCUCAAGGUUGGUAAUUGUUUAAGCAAGCGAUUUUCUUUCCUUUUUUAUUUGUAUGAAUUUAUUUCAUUGUAAUUUAAUUUCCUUAUAACAGCAAAGUUAUAACCAAUAAAUAUUAGGAUAAUCUCCCAAUAUACGUGCAUACAUGUGUACGCCUUGAACUCAUUGUCAGAAUAAUAUUCGGUUCUUAAUUUUUUUUUAUAGUGUCUUCAUGGUGCUUGCAUGUUUGUUGGGUUAGAUAAUCCAGCACUGACCUUGGAUUUAUAUUGAUAAAUUCAAGAACCAGUUGAUUGACUUUCUAUAAUUGGCAUUCAAAUAUAAUGGUUAAAUAAAGUGGUAAACACUUCUACAAAUCAAGCAUUCACUAAAACACACUUUGGAGCUGUAGUAUUUGGAGAAACUUUUCAGUUAUUGAUCACAACUUCAAUAUUUUAAUUAGCAGAACUAAAUGAGAAUUGUCAUUUCAAUUUAAUUUUGGGUCUUAGGUUUUUGUGGAAAGUUGGGAUCUUGCUUGGUAUAUAUGCAUGUUCUCUUCUGAAGCUUAAGCUGAAUCACCAAGGAUAUUCAUCCAGUUUUAGAUGGAUACUGAACAAAGUUUAUUAUUGUGCAGCCUGAUUAUGAGGAAGCUAAAGAUGAUAGGAAAACCUCUUUACAUCUUGUAAAGAAGAGAAAGCAGCUUCAUUCAUCUGGCCUGAGUGCUACUCAAAAUCGUUAUGUGGUGGGUGAAAAGGAUGAAAGCCAGUGAUAUAAACAAGGGCCAAAAUUAUCUGAAUAUUCCAAUGUUAUAUUUAGUUAUCCAAGUUGCUGUAGAUAUAGAAAUUUUCAGUAUGUAUACUUUUCAGUAGCUCAAUGCUCAAAAAAGUUCAUUGGGAAGUAAGGGUGACACAAUAGUUAUGUUAAUGUGAUAUUGCAAUUCUCAUGACAAUUUCUCAUGAGAAAAGACUCUCUUUCGCCACUCAUAGUUUCCUUUUGCAUUUCCAUGUGAGAAAAAGUCUAAAUGGCAUAUGGAUAAAAAAUACUGUCAAUUUUGUAAUAUAAAAAUAUAUUCUGGAUUAGGCAAAUUUAUAAAUAUAAUUUGAAUUUUAGAAUCUAAAAAUAUAUUCUGAAUUAUGUAAUUCAGAAAUGAUUUAUGAAUUUUUAGAAUAUUUCAUGCAAAUAGUUCACACCAAUAAAUUUUAUAAAAUAAACAUUUCUUUAUUUUUAAUUCACCACAAUCUCUUUCUUAAAAAGAUAUUAUCACAUAUUAUCACAAACAAUCACAUGCAUUAUAAUAGAUUUUGCAUCAUGUCUACAAAAUUUUGACAACAAAAUGGUUAAAAUUCAAAUAUCUUCAUAUUUAAAUCAGCCAUAAAUUUUUUUAUAAAAAAACAACGAAUAAAAUAUUUGGACAUCUAUAGAUUCUUUUCAGACGUUAAAUGGCUUAAUAUCCUACUAAAUAGUCUAAUGAAGAUAAGUAAAUCUACGUAACAAAUUUUAUAAGAUAUAUUAGGACUUAUAACAAUGUUUUUUCAUGUACAAUGAAAGUAAAAACGUUUAACAGUUUGUACUAUUAACGUUAGACAGUUUUAUAAUGUUAAAUAUAUUAGAUGAUCUCACAGUUUUAAAUAUGUUAAAUAAUCUUAUAAACAUAUUAAAUAUUUUACCAACGGUUCAACACUCCAGGUGAACUCAUUUUUGUUUUUAUAUUAGUGUCUUCGUUCUCACAUAGAUGCUUUAACAUAUCAGGACCUUUCUAAAUUCAGUUAUUUUAUUUUGAAAGUGGUUGGUGAUGUCUUCCUUCUCACAAAUAUUUCAACAUAUCAUGACCUUUCUAAAUUUAGUUAUUUUAUUCGGAAAGUGUUUUCUAAUGAUCAUUAAAAAAUAUAGUUGCGAAACUUGUAGUGACUUUAACAAUUUUUUAAACAAAGAAUCGCUUCAACAUUUUAAUUAAAGUCAAUUCUAGAAAAUUUUUAAAAUACAAAACAUUAAUGGAGCUUUCAAAAAAAAUCUUUUCAAUAAUAUGUUUCUGAUUCAAUUAAAUCAAUUUGAUUUAUAACUGUUUGGAAAGUUUUAUAAAUAUAACAUUACCAAAGAUUUUGAAAAACAUAAGUUUUUCAAAAUAAUGAUUUUGAUUUAAUUAUUUUCGUCUGCUUUGAUUUUUAUAUAUUUUGAAUGUAUUUAAUUUUUUUUCCAAAAGGAGUUUCAUAGGUCAAUGUCACGAAAACCAAUCAUACUAGAAGUUUUCUUUUAGAAUGUCUACUACAAAAAUAUGAAGUGUUAGAUUUGAAUGUGAUAAGAAUAAAAAGUGAAACGUAACUAUGAUUUGGUCGACCCUCUCUACUAUAAAUUGAGGUGUUUGUCUUAUGAAAAGAUAGAUUAAAUAUAUGAGUGUUAUGUUGUCAAAUUACAAGCUUAUGCUCUCUAUUGGCUAGCCUCUUUAGGAUAGACGCCUUUGAUCUCUUUUCACCAUUCUCCAAGUGAUUUGGCCUCACCAAUCACUCUCCCCACAUCUCACGGAAACUCCAAGGAAACCAUGGCUCCAAUGGAGGUCUCCUUGACUCGUAUCCUUCACUUGCUUACGCCAAAUCCAUCCUAUUUGCAAGGAAAUUCAAACCGGAUGAAGAGGACGCUAUCAUUUGGUAUCUAGAUCUUUGAUUCAUCAAGAGCUAAUUAUAUUCUUCUUCUAAUUUCUUUUUCUUGGUUUCGUGUUGUUCAUUUAUAUUCUUGAUUGUUUUGAAUUGUUUCUAUUCAUUUUUCUUACUGUUUUUAUGGUGUUGUUUUUCAAUUUUAUUUGGUUCAAAUGUGUUGUGUUCUUGAACCAUCCAUAUGAAAUUUUUUUAUGGUGUUGUUUUUCAAUUUUAUUUGGUUCAAAUGUGUUGUGUUCUUGAACCAUCCAUAUAAAAUGUUUUUAGGUUUCCAUUAAGUAAAUAGUGUGUUUUUACAUUUGUUUGAGUCUUAUUUCAAUUUUAAUCAGUGCAAGUUGUUUUAAUUUGAGUCAUUUUAAUUUUGACUUUAAGUUCAAGUAAUAUCUAGUUAUAUAGUUAUAUAUCUUCAAAAUUAUUAUCAAUUCUGUGUAGUACUUAUUUUAAUUGUUUUGGUUGUUUGUUUUAAUUUGAGUUUUGGUGCAUUUUAAUUUUUACAUCAUUGAAUUUUAUACUUUUUCUUAGUUCCAUACAAUUUUUGCUUUCAUCAAUUUUUAUUACGUUUUGAGUUGUGAAAUCUGUUUUUGAAUUCAAUUAGGAUUUCUCUAUUUUUUAAAUAAGCAUGUAAAAAAAUAAUAAAUAAAAUUUAUAAUUUUUAAAAACUUCAAAAAUUAUGAAUGACGAGUUUUAUACAUAAUUAUAAAUAAUCAUUUAAAUUAUGUUUUUUACUUAAGUAAUAUAUUAUAAUUUAAUUAAUAAAAAUAUUUGUUAAGAAUAAUUUUAUUUAUUUUUUAAUGUUAAAAAAGGUGAAAAAUAUAUGAAAUAUAAUUUUUAUUUAAUCUCAAAAAAAAAUUAUUAUUGCAAAAUCAUAAUAUUUCAAAUGAAUGUUUUCUCCUUUUUAAAAUAUAUGUAUAUAGCGAAAUUGAUUACAGAUAAGUUUGCACUUCAUUUCAAUAAAUAUAUAUAAAUAAAUGUGAAUAUACAUAAUAAUAAUAAUAAUAAUAAUAAUAAUAUUUUUUAUUUAUAAUAUAUUGUAAAUUUAUAUUAUUAAUAUAAGUGUAUUAAUUAUAAUAUUUAUUUGAGUUUUAAUUUUAAAUAUAAAUACAUAUAAAUAAAAAAAAUACGAUACACAGAAAGAGAAUAGCUGAUCUUUAUAAAAUAAAUUGGUUUAGAAAUAGUUUUUUGAGAAAAUAAAAUGACAGUUGUUUUGCAUAUAUAAUUAAACACCUACAGUAGCCUAGUAGACCUUUUGAUUACUGUGUUCUGUAGCCUUUACUUCUAACUUCACAAUUCUAUCUUUUCACUUUAUCCCCUGUGUAAUGUUGUAUCAUCUUCUGAUAACAUCUGAAAAAAUAUAUUUUUUAAUACAAUAACAAUAAUACAUAUAUUCAAUAGAUUAUAUAAGUGAAAAUUUCUUUAAUUUACAUAUUUUUGUUUAAACAUAUAGGAAAGAUUAUAAUUAUUCUAAAAAUUAAUUUGUUUACACCUUAAUGGACAUGUUAAAUCUAUCUGUACUUAGUGAAAAAAAGUAGGAAAAGGAUAAUUUAAAGGAUAGUAAAAAAACACUAAAAGUAAUAGUCAAAACAAUUUCUUAAAAGAUAUAACUAUAUUUUUACAAUAACUUUCUGUGCUUAUAAAAUUACUGACAUAAUAUAAUAACAAUAUUAGAAAAAUGUCAAAUCAAAUCAAAUGAAGUGAAUAGAAGAGCAAUGAUAAGGAUAGGUACAAAGCAGAUAGGUUAGCAGUGUUUACAGUGCAAUCCCCUUAUUGUGUGUUUCAAAAAAUAUUUUCCUUCAGGUCUACUUUUAUGUUCCUCUGCUCAGCUUAGGAAACAACUACACCCUUUACACCUUCUUCUCUAUUUCCAGUCCAUUAUGUUGCUCUGCAUACUCUACUUUCCUUCCACUAGUGCUGCAAGUUGUUUAGUUCCCGUUGAAGUCCCACACCGUAUAAUGUGACAAAAACAUUAAUGUUUAUAUUAAUGCCAACUACAUUUAUGCUUGUCCCUUUGGGGACAUCCGAUAAAAUUGGAACGAUACAGAGAAGAUUAGCAUGGCCCCUGCGCAAGGAUGACACGCACAAAUCGAGAAAUGGUCCAAAUUUUUUUUUAUUUUUUUCUGUCAUGGAAGUUCUCCGCUCCAUCUCCCGCUGUGGCAGCGCAACCUCAACAUUGAACAACACCCACCAAUGAAAAUAAUGUGUUUUCAAAUUUAUUUUUCUCCCUGCUGAGUUCGUUUUAUGGAAGUUCAGGUGAGUUUGUGUGUAAUUUUUGAAUGUUUUAUAUUUUGAGUUUGAAGUUUAUUAUUGUUGAUAACGCAUGAUACUUGUAGUAUUGAGAGAUAGUGUUCCAGACAUGGCAUAUUUGGCAUCAUGGAAUAUGAAGAAGUUAGGAGGAAAAAAGAAUGUCUGUGGGAUUGUUCUGGCUUUCUUUUACUAGACCUGUAGUUUACAGUUUGCCAUGACGAAGUCCCACAUUAAAAACUUUUCGAAAUGAAAACAAGUUUAUAAAGAGACACCUAAUACACUUGGUCACGACCUUACUUGAACAGGAUCUGUUCUAUAGGCUCGUACCUCUGUAUCCUUGAGUUCUAAGGAGACAGGAACUAAAGUCUGGUGGAUGAACCAUGACCCUGUGAUCAGAGCGUGAUUAACGGUCUGGUGUCCCUUCUCUCAGGAGAAGAUACAUCCUUAGCUGUAGAGGAUCGUUCCCAGUCAUUAUGUUUGGGAUGGUCACAGGGUUGUCUGACAGACUCUAUUACUUUUUUCAUUCACUACACAUUUUUAUUUUUUCCUGGAAACACAAACUGGUGUUUGAGACCUAUGUACAGAUCCAUCAUAGGUGAAUGAGGAGUGAUAGAAGGACUUGUUGUUAAAGCUAUAAGACACUUGUUUUCAUCUCUCAAGUUCAAAAUAAAUAUAUUUCUUUCUUCAUUUAUUUCCUCUCUGUUCUGUUCCACCCUGUAUAUCAAACAAAUACAUAAUAUUAGUGUGUAUGUAUUUUUGGAGAAAUAAUCCUAAAAAGAAAAUUAAGUUAGUGGAUUUUUUAGUUAUUUCACUCAACAGGUAAAUAUGUAUUUUCAAAAUAUGUAAUAAAGUUUUUCAAAUUUAUUAAAAUAAAUAAAUUUAUAAGUAAGCCCUGCCUUAAACCGUUUAAAAAAAUUAUGUUUUAAAAACACGAUUUUUAUAUUUUUUAAAAGACUCCUCAAAAGUCAACUUUUUUUUUAUUUUUUUAGUUUUAUAAAGCCGUACACAUAAUGCAUUUCCUUCAUUUUAAUUUUUUCAACUUUAAUGUUUUUCAACUUUUAUGUACAUCUUUUUUAUAUUCAAAGGUUUUAUUUGUUAUUUUUUUUUUAAUUUUAAAAUUUUUAUGUAAAUUAUUUUGAGAUAUUUUUUAAUAAUUUGAUAAAUAAAUUCAUAUUAAAUUUUUUUACUUUUUAAAGUUUCAUCAGCAUCUUUUAACUUUUUAAAUAAAUAUUUUUUAUUAUUAAAAUUAAUAAGUGAUUCUUAUAUAUUACAUAUAUGUGAAUAUUUUGGAGAAUAUAUGAUAAUAUUUUAGUAUUUAAAUUUAAAUUUAAAUUUAUUAAUAAAAUAAUUAAAAAAUGUGUUAAAAUAAAAUAAAUGUCUAUCUGAAAUAAAAAAAGAUAAUUGUAAAAAAUUUCAUAAAAAGUGAAUUAUACUUCAUUAAAAGAUUAUAUAUUCAAAGUAGGAUUUUUCUUUAUUAGAAUUUGUUAUUGAAAAUACCACUUCCUAUUCCAAUGUAGCCGGUUUUCAAUGUAUUAUGUCCCAAUUUAUUUGUAUAAUAUGUUAAUAGUUUACUCAUUUUCAUAAAUUUUAAAAGAAAAUGUACUCAAUUGAUAAAAAAAUCACAUAAAUUCUCUAAAGUGUAAAGUUUAUAAUAAAUAUUAUUGUUAAAUUAAAAUUGUAACAAAUGUAAGGAUGGAAAAUAGUUUUAGAAUAGAAGUUGUAUAAUUAAAGUGAGAUUUGAAUAUUUAUUGUUAAAUUUAAAAAAAAGAAUACAAGUAGAAAUUUAGUUAUUCGAUUUUAUUUUAAAAAAAUCAUAUUUUUUUAAAAUCCUAUUUUUUUUUUCUAAGUAUCUAGGAAGAUACUGUUUACGUGGAUUAAAACGCGAAGACUUUUUGUGUUUGCAACGAUUUGCCAUGAAAAAGCGGAGAAUGGGAAAAAUGUUCCCUUCUGCAAUGCCAAGAAACAAUAAGAAAGACAGGUGGCUUUCUUUAAUUAUAUUUUUAUCCUCCUCUGCAAUAACAUUAAAAAAAUUAUAAAAAAAACUGUUCAAAUAUAUAAUAUAAUAUAAAUAAAAUAUAUAAUAUAAUAUAAAUAAAACAUAUUAAAUAUUAAAUAGAUUUAUAUUAUUAAAAUAUUUUAUAAUAUUAUUAAUAUAAAUAAGAUAAUUAUUUAUAAUAAAAAAUAAAUUUUAUAUAAUAAUAUUUUAAUUUAAUAAAAUAUAAAUAUAAAAUAAUAGUAUUUGUUAUAUCUAGAUAUAUUAUGGAUUAAUUUUGUUUUAAUAUAUUAAAAUUUAUUGUGUUUCUAUUUUGUAUGAUUUUUACAAUUAUAAAUAUUACAAUUUUUUGAUUAAAAAGAAAAAUUAACUAAAAUCUAUACAAAAUUAUAUUAUAUUUUAUUUUUUAAUUAGUAAGGUAAGGAUAAAUUUGUAAAUAUAUAUUUUUAACAUUUUAAAAAAAUUAAAAAAUCUUUCAAAUCUAUCAUAUUACUCACAAACUCCAAUAAACUUUUCCUACAAAUCCAUCUUAUAUACCUUAAUCCAAACAACCUCACUUUCUUCACACUUUCCUCUUAAAUCACUUCAAAUCCACUUCCUCAAAUCCUCACUUUAAUCCAAACAAAGCUUAAGGCUUUGUUUGGAUAAAAGAGUAAAAAUGAGAGUGAAUUUUGAUGAUUUAAGAGAAAAGUGUAAAGAAAGUUAAGAUGUUUGGAUUAAGGUAAAUAGAGUGGAAAGUGUGAGGAAAGUUAAUGAUAGUUUGUGAGUGAUGUGAUAGUUUUGAUUGAAAUUGUAUUUUUUUUAAUUGAUAAAAUGUAAUUUUACAUAUUUGUCCUUACAUUUAAAAAUUGUUAAAAAAUUAAUUUAAUUUAUUUAUGUAUAAAUUAUAAUUAUUUUUAAUUAAAAUAUUAUUUAAAUAUUUAUAAUUGUAAAUAUUUAAUAAAAACUUAAUUUUAAAUUAAAUAAAAAAUUAUUAUUUUUAUCUUUAUUUUUUCUAAUUAAUAAUUAUUAUAUAAAUUUAUUUCUUUAUUCUUAAAAAUAUUUUUAUAAUUUAUUAUAUAUAUAAUAUAAUUAUUUUUUAUAAUUUUAAUUAUAUUUUUAUAUUUAAAUUAUAAUUCUACUUAAAUUAAAAUAAAAAUAAUUUAAGUUUAAAAUAGAAAAGGAUAAAAAAGUAACUUACAAUUAAUUAAUUAAAUAAAUAUAGGUAUAUAGAACUUUCUUCUCAAAUGUGCGAAGAAAGUUUAGGAGGUGAAAUUUUUUUCCAUUUUUUGUGUUUUAAUAUAUUUUAUUACUUUGGUUUUUGCAAUUUCUUCGUGAACAGUACAACUUCUCCUUUCUCUUCCUUUCUUUGUUUAAAAACAAACUGAUCCUAAGAUUUUGACUUCCUUGCUCAUAAGUUUGACGAUCAGAUAACGUCAUUAGAUCCCUGACAGUGAAUUUUACAAGAUUGUUCGAUCAAAUUUUCAGAUAGAGUAAAUUUAUUCUUGGUUACUUUUUCUUUGAGUUUAUUUUGAUCUGGUUAGAUUUUUUUUAGUUUAAGCUUGCAUGUGAUGAUUUUUUCUUUAAAAAUAGUCUCGGUUAUAUCAGGUCUUAGUGGUAUAGUUAAAUUUUUUAUCAGGGGUCUUUAGUGGAGGUUAGGCUACCCUUAAGCUUUUGGUGAUUAUAUAUAAUUUAUAUAUAACUUAUUAAAAUCAUAUCUAUUUUGUUUAAUUUGGAGUUACACCUCAUUGCCUUUUUUAUAAUAAAAAAUUUUGGAUUUUUUUUAAUACCACAUCUUGUGGUCAAACUUAAAAAAAAAUACUACAUUCUAUUUUGAAAUUCAGUAUACAAUUUGACGUGUUUUAGAUGCUUUCCAAUAUCACAUAUUAUUUUAGAUCUUUAUUAAAGUGGUGAUAACAUUUAUUGAAGUAAUGAUAAAAAUACCACAUUCAAUUUUGGAAUAUUUUGAAAACCACAUUGUUUUCUAAAUUCAUAAAAAUACCACCUUCUAUUUUAAAAUUUAGUAUACAAUUUUACUUGUUUUAGAUUUAUUUUCAAUACAACAUAUUGUUUUAAAUUUUUUAUUAAAAUGAUGGUAAAAUUACCAAAUUCAAUUUUGGAAUAUUUUGAAAACUACUUUUUGUUUUCAAUUUUUAAAAAGAAUAUCAUAUUCUAUUUUGAAAUUUAAUAUACAAUUUGACUAAUUUUACUUGUUUUAGAUUGUUUUCUAAUACCAUAUGUUCUUUUAGAUUUUUAUAAGAGCAGAAUCAUAUAGUUGUUUUAAAAGUCUAGCCAAGCCCAAAAUUCCAUCUUAGGUGGUCAACAAUAAAAAUUAUGAGAAUAUAUUUAAAAAGAUAUAUUUGCAUAAAUAAUAAACUAAUAUAUUUUUAACAAUUUUUUCAAUAUCACAUCUUGUGUUAGAAAUUUAUUAAAGUGAUUAUAAAAUUUACUAAAGUAAUAAUAAGAAUACAACACUUAAUUUUGAAAUAUUUUGAAAACCACUUUCAAACUUAUAAAAGAAAGUCAUUACUACUAAAACGACAUUAAAUAAAAAAUAAUUUUAAAAAUAGAAUAAUUAAUUAUUAUAUGAAAUAAAUGGUAUAUUAUCUUAUAGAUUAUUUUAAAUAUUAAUAUUUUUUUAUUUUUUAAAAUAAUAUAUAAUUUAAUUAAUAUAAUAAUUAAUUAUUUUUUAUCUUUAAAAUUAAUUUCUAAUAAAUUUAUAUUUAAUGAUUUUCUUAUACUACAUAUAUUUUGAAAUUCAAUAUAUUUAACUUUUUUUUUAAUACCAAAUCUUGCUUCUUCUUUUUUUUCUAUAAAAUAAUCAUUAUAAUUAUUUUAGAAGUGUAAGUAAGACAAAAACAUAAAAUCUGAGGUCGGUCAACAAUAAAAUUUAUGACAACGUAUUAGAAAUGGUAUAUAUAUUUAUUCAAAAAAUUUAUGAUUCUAAUUAUAAAUAAUGAUAUAUUAACUAAAGUAUCUGUUUAUAAUCCUUACUCUUUUCUUCAUGGAAAUCUUCUAUUUAUAGCAUUCUUGAAUAUGACCUUGUAGCUUAUGUGUUAAUUCAUGUCUUUUGUGUCAAUGCUUUAACAGAGUUUGACUGUUUUUUGGCUGACACUUUUUUAUCUAGCACAAAACAACUUUAUCUUUUAUACAUCGUUUUAUAGUGAAAAUAUAAAUCUAAAAUCUUUUCGAAAACUUAUUUUUGUGUGUUGGAGGAGAAUCAUAGUUUAGGAUUUAUCUUUUCUUGAUUUGUUUUGAGUCUUUUGAUUUUUUAUUUUUUUUAUUUCUGUUAAAAUAAAAAGCUUUUUAGGAUCAUCUAAUGACCGUCAUGUUUUAUAAUUCUUGCAAAUCUUGGUUUCUUGAUCUUUGUUAUUUUUAUUUUUUUUUAAAUUGAAAAAUAAGUUGGUUAUAAGAAAUUUUGGGUUGAAUCUUUCACAUAGACUAUUCCUCGUGAGUUUUUUUAACUUUGAUUGAUAGACCGUCUAACAAACCAUUUGAUAGAUCGUAUAUUGCUAUUUUUUUAGUGUGUUUUUACUCAUGUUUUCGUAUACUCUAAAACUUAGCUUGAUUCUUUGUUUUUGAUAUUGUGAUUUACAUGCAUGAACUGAUAUGAUUGAGGCAGUCUUUGUUUAAUUUUAGCCACUAGCCAUAUUAGUUGCCUACCUUUCAUUAUAAUCCACAUUUUAGCCCCUUUGAUCCUAAAACUUUUUUCUUGUUUUUAACAAUCAUUAUAAGCCUGAAAACAGAAAAACCAUAUUUGUCCAUACUUUAUAAGACUAAGGUGCUUUUAAAAUCAUUUUGGAAGGUCCAGAUAAGGCAUGCAAUACCUUGGCCAACUAUGAAGCAAACCUGUUACGAUGAAGAAGGCUUGAAAUAGUGGAUGGAAAUGGGUUGGUUGAAGGGCAUGUGACAUGGUACAGUUGCUUCCAUGGAUAGGUGAUGGUACUGUGUAGAGCAUAGAUGGAAAACAAAACAAAAAUUGUAAAAAAAUAAAAAAUGGAAAACAAUAGAAAUUAAGAAUAAAAAAUAAAACAAAAACAAAAAUAGAUUAAAAUAAUGGAAAAAACAAGAAUAAAAACAAAAAAAGUAAUAAAAUAAGAUAAUGCAAAUCAAAAUAAGAUAAAGAUAUAAGAUAAGAAAUAAGAAAAAUAAAAUAUGAUAAAUCAAUAUAAGAUAUAAAAGAAUAAAAUAAAAUAAGAUAAAGAAUAUCAUAUAUUUUUAUUUUCUUUUUUUAUAAACUAUAAUAAAUAAAUAAAUAAAUAAAACUAUUCAAAAGAAAACAAAGUUAGAUAUGCAAAAAAGAUAAAAUUGCAAAUGAAACAAUAAAAAAUUAUGUAGAUAAAAAAAACUGAUAACUAAAUUCAAAUUUGAUUUCCUGGAAACAAUGUCAAAUCUGAUAGUUAUUGUUUUGUUGUCAAAUUAAAAUGAUUUCAACGUAGACUUGUCUAAGACUAGAGAGAUGAUAAUAUAAUUGUGCUUAGAUGACCCCAAGUCAUCUCCCAACAAUUCAAUAGUGAAAUCAGUAAAUCAGUGUCCAAAAUCUAUUUGCAAGCAAGAAAAGUUACCAAUAACAAUAAAGAUAAAAAGGGGUUCAAAUUGUUUGACAGAAAAUAUAAAAGAGAUUAAAACAGAAAAUAAAUAGCGGUUGAUCCCCAAGUUCUUCCACCAUUGAGUUCUUCACAAGUUCUUUAAAGAUUAGUCUUUUCUCAAUCCUCAAACAGAGUUAAACCAGAUUAAACAUGUGGCGAUCUGAUUCAACUGAAGCUCACCAAUAAAGCAUGUCUCUACUAGUUUGAUAUGUACCCAUCUUGUUCCAUGCGUAUACUCCAUGGAAAUGUUAUAUCCUCUCUCUUGAAUCAUGCACCCAACUAAGAAACCAAACUUUUAGAUAAGGAAUACUCUCAAUGCGUUUAAGUACAACCUCUCACAAAAAUCAGUUUUUCAGAAGAUUAGAAUAUUAAAACAAUUGUUGUAGAGAAUUGAAAAAUGAAACUUUUAUUGAUCAAAACCUCAUAACUCGAUGAGAAAUUACAAAUGAAUCAACCAAAAAGGUUUAACCUUCCAUGCGGAGGCAAAAAUACAAAGAUAAAAAAUGCAGAAAAAUAAACAAAGGAAGCGGUUAUACACUCAAAGAUGUUGGUGUCUUUUGUGUGUUUCCCUUACUUUCCUUAAAUAGGACAUAAACCAUAUUCACAUUACAUGGUGGAAGCACCACUUUUGGUGGAGAAGAUUCAACUCCUACUUAGGUUGAAAAAUUUGUCCUAUUUUGUGAAAAAUCUCCUCAAAUAUUUGUUUAUGUUUUAAUUCAAAGAAACAACUUGGACUUCUGCAUAUUUGGCUCAUUCGCAAAGGUAGACACUUCUUUCAAAUCAUUUACUCUAAAAACACAAAAUUAACAAAAAUAAUGUUGAAAAAGGUGCUUUGAUGUCUCCAAAUCCAAGAGGAAUGCUUGAAGACUUUGUUGCUGGUUUUCUGAGUGUAUCUAGUAGUCUCUGAAUUAUUAAUUCAUUCUUUAAGAUGAUCCAAUGUUAAUUGAAUCUUAAUCUUUUUUAAAAGAUGAUUUUUCUAAAGAGUGUGAAAUUUUAACUUGUUGAAAUGUCGAUUCAACCGGUUGUUUGACACUUAAUGGCUUUUAAAAUGAAUUUGAAAAGCUUGACUUUGUUGUCAAACGAUUCAACCAGUUGUUUCGUGAAUUCAACUGAUUAUUUUUAUGAAAACCUUAACAAAAUUCUGUUAGGAUGUUCCAAUCUGUUUUAAAUUAUUCCAACAGCUUUUGGUUUUUGAUUUAACUGUUUUAACCACUUGAUUGGAGUAUAAAAUGUUGUUUUACGCUCUUAUGCAUUAACUAAGACAGAGAGAUUAAUCAAAAACAAUUUUCAAUAUUUCAAAGAGCUUUUGGAUCAUCUUGUAAUUCUGAAACUUUAAUCUUUGAUUUACCCGGUUUAUUCUAUUCACUUCUUCCUCAGACUCUCCUUCUCUCGUCCAGGAUUCCCAGAUCUCCUCGAACCGUUUUAAUCCUUCUUGUCCUAAUUCUCUAGCCAUGUGUGCAUUCUGACUUGGCAGCUUCUUUGCAGAAUCCUAUACAUGUGAUUUAUUUAUUAUGAUUCUUUUUUCUUAAAUUUCAAUUAUAUAUGGGUUUAUAGGCCAUGUUGUUGCCAACAAAUUUUAAAAUUCGGCGUCUUGUGAUGUUUUAUCUCUUUGUCAAUGCCUGUGUUUUGUGGUUAAUUCGUGCGUCUGAGAACUUGAUUUUUUUUUAAUCUUGUGUAAUUAAUCUAAUGAAAUUUUAAAUUACUAAAUUACGUAUAACAAUUGAACUGUUUCCUGAGGUGUGAUUUGAAUAUAGCAAUUCCUUUGUUUUUUUGGUGAGAAAAGUAGAAAAAUCAUCUUUCCCAUAUGAACAUUAUAUUAUGCAAUUUAUUUAUUAUUGCUGAUAAAAAAAAAAUUAUGCAAUUUAUUAUAUAUUUAAUUCUGCAAAGUAAAACAUUUAUUGGGGUUUUGCUUCUGCUGAUUGUAUAUAACUUAAACUGUUAGUGGUUAAGUGCUUGAAAUUUGAGAAUCUAUGCCCUCUACUUGACAGGAGCGACUAAAUUGGACCCAUCAUGGGCUGAGGUAUGAUACUAUUUUAUUUGAAUUCACCAUUAAACAUUGUGACUUUUGCAAAAUUCCUUCCUACUAAUAAAAUUUAUCUACAUAAUUCUGUGCUGCAAUUUUGUUUUGUUUCAGUUAGUAAUUAUGCCUAAAUUAUAAUCAAGUUUAACAACGGAUGAGGGAAAUUUGAAAGAUUCUCUUCAGAAAGUUCUUAAACUCAGAAAAGCUUUGACCUGUGUAUGUGAUAUAUUUCAUGCAUAUAAUUGAUCUUUCCUCAUUUUGAUCUCCAAUUACAGGUUGCAAUUAUAGGCUGGUUGUCUUAUUUUGUUUGUUAAAUCCAAAGAACUAGUAGUAUGAAUAUAUAUAUUUGAAAUUCAGUAUCAUUGUCACCUGACACAUUUGUUCUUGUAAUGUAUAUGCUUAAGUGAUGAGUGUGGUCACUGGUCAGUACUGUAAAGGAAUCAGCAUUGAAAAUCUAAGUAUAAGAUCUAGAACCUUAUUAGACUUUUCUUGAUUUUGAGAUAAAAUGCUCUAACUUUUUGUGAAUGCUUUGUUGACUAACCUUCUUGGAUUUUAGGUUGGCUUCUGUGCUAUGUCUAUGUUAGAUUUGGUACAUGAUCACUGUAUCAAAUUCUUUGUGAAUUGUAUUUGUAGGAGUUAUAGUCUAAACUAAAAAGUAUGCCGAAGUUUGAUUUUGAAUCACUGAUAAUCAUGCCUACUAGCUAAGUACCUUUCAGUUUCAUAAUUAAUGCAUGCAUUUCAAUCUUGAUUCUUCCAGGCAUGGGUCACACUUGGCAGAACCCAACUGAAUUUUGGUGAGCCAGAUAAUGCUAUUGAAAGC
rnacentral:lncRNA from 1 species